GCAGAUCCUGUCUCCCAUCGGUAAAAUGGAGACAAUAGCCACCGGGCUAUUGUAAGGAGUUUUUUAAACCAGUAAGUGCUAGAAAACUCUCGACCUUUUCUCUGGCCACAGGGCGGCUGGGGGAGCCCAUGUUUGAAAUAAGCCAGGAACCUCUGAGGAAGGAGUCUGGUGUCUCAGCUCUGUGUCCAGUCCAGCUUUCACCCACUUACAUCACGUGUUGAGGGCCAUCAGGAUUGUUAUGGGGCAGUGGGUGGUGCAGUGGAUGCAGGGCCGGGCCUAGGAUCAGAACACCCAUCUUCCUGGAUUCAACACUGGCCUCAGACACUUACUGGUGGGGGACCCUCAGUGAGUCCCUUAACUUAGUUGCCUUUUUCCUUGAAAAUUCCAGUAACUGCCAAGAAAACCCCAAGUGGGGUCGUGAAGAAUCAGACCAGAAGCAGUUUAACAAAGGGUUAUUCCAAGCUGACAAACAGCCUUAGGAGGGAUACAGCCAAGUCACAAACAAGAGAAGGGAAGUUCGUAGACCUAGGACUCCUAUUACGAAGGACUUGAGUCUGAUCUUUCCCAGUCUCUUCUGUUCCCCGACCCGAGGUUCCUACUGACAUUGUGAGUCGGCAAGAGCACCCCACUACUGUGGCAGCCGCAGCGCCCGAAUGCACCAGCUCCACCUGGCAAGAUGCUUUUGGCUCCUGCAGGGUGGCGGGAUGGAUGGUACAAAAGUGACCUGUGACUUCCUCCAGCCUCCACAAAACCCUCCCUCAGGCACGCCUCGUGUCAGUUGCUCUUCUGGCAGUGUGAAGGGAAGUGAAUGGGAGCCAGAAAAAGCCCUCUUUAUAUUUACAAAAUGUCUUCCUCACCACCCCUGUGAGAUAGUGCAAUGCAUUUACUAAUGUGCCCAGCACUUCACUAGAUACUUGGUGGUACAAAGAAAAAAGGUCCUACCCGCAAGAUAGUUUACCCAGAAAACAAGUAAUCAUCUCCAUUUUGCGAAUGGGGAAACUGAGGCCCAGAGAUGAGAAGUGUCAGGAGUCACAGCCAGUAAACUUAAAACCAGAGUUUGAACACAGAUCACCUCUCAGAACCCCAUUAUUUCCACUCCACCACACUGGACUUGGAUGGAGACGAGUCCAAGCUGCUUCGAGACACUCCUUUUCAUCUAAAGAUAACCCAGUCAGGAUAGUGGAGGAAGGCUGGGCUACAGGGUCCGUCUAAGCGGCCCUUUAUGGUUCUGCCCCCUCGGAUGGCUUCCCCUAGUGUGAAAGCUCAGGAGAGAGACUUUCCUCCCGGCUCUAACGCAGUCUUUUUCCCCGAGCUGAGCGGGGUUGGUGACAUGCACACCUUGUCUGCUUUUCUGAGGAAAGGCCUUGAUCUGUUAAACUUGUACAGCGGUGCCCCAGUACUGACUGAAAGGCCUUCUGUCACCAGGCUGUGAUGGCUUCUCCGGGUCACAGAGCAGGCUGUCCAUGACAGAAAGGCCCGGUUGCCUCCCAAUCCCAUUGAGCUCCAUGUCCAUGGGCUGGGUGGCAAUACCAGGAGAUGCCCAGAGCUAGCUCUACCAGGUCAGAGGAAGGCAAAGAUUGGCUCUUCUGGAGGCAAGUUCGGGGGGAAAUCCCACAGUGAUGAGCACAAUUACAGGGCUUGCUGUGUUCUCACAAACCAGCUAUCUUUGCCAAAUAGUGUAUCAGGGUUUAGGCUGGAGCUCUGACCCUUAAAAUGAUAAAAUCAGCUCAAGGUUCAGGAUUUCAAUCAAGGAGAUAUGCUGCAUUGAGAGAGAAAAUGGAAAGGACAAGAAACUGGGGGCAAAGAAGCUACCUGCGACCUGCUCUCUGAAGGAUCUGGCUCUUCCCAAUCUCCCCUGAGAUUGGUACUGUUUCCUCUAGUCUAGCCCAACAGAGCUGACCUAUCGGAAGGGCUUUAAACAGAACUAAAAGUACAUCUAGCUCAACCAAGUUUUCGGGGAAACUAGUAAUGAGACUUGCUCGGCAACACAGAGCUAGUUAGGGUCGGAAACCAGGCCUCCAAAAUGCGGGCGAUGCAGAAUCCCUCCAGCCCAGGUUGGGAGAUGAUGCAAAGGCCCUGGAGGCCAUUAGUUAGACAGGCCUGGUUACCUUUCAGCUACUCCACUGUCCUACCUGAGAAAAUGGGCCAGGGAGCAGAACCAGGAGCACCGGGAGCAGGUCUCUGAUGGCAAAGAUGGCCCAUAAGUGAGAGAGAGAGAAAGAAAAAUAAGUGUGUGUGUGUGUGUGUGACAAAGCCUAGUGUGCUCCAACAGCCUCCUGACCUCCCAGCUUCCAGUUCGUGGCAGCCCCUGGACCCGGCCUGCCGCCAGAGUGGCCCAGCCCCUUCUGGGCAAGGUCCAGCAGUCCCCUCCCUGCCCUGCUAUGGAAGACACACCCCACACCUCCCAGCCGGAAACAGCGGGCACAGGCCUCGAAAUGUAAAUCUUUUAUUUAACAAAACACUAUACUUUUGAAUUCUGAAGAAUGUGUACGGAAGGGAAAGAAAAAUAUUUUGGGGGUUUUUUUCCUUUUUUUUUUCUCUUUACAAAAACAAAACGAGGAUAUAAGAAAACAUAUGUACAGAACAGCUGGCCAAAAAAAUCAACCCAAACCAGGAACUGAAUCAUGAUGUUUCUAAGUGGCUUGGCCUAGACCUUUUUUAUUUUCAUUUUUAAAAAACAAUUAAAUUAGGAUACAAAUAUUAGAAAAAAUUGGACGUGAGCUGCCAGUGCUCCCGAGGAGUCAAGCUGAGCAACUGAUUUUAUACAGUAAAACUUAAUUGGAGCUCUACCACAUUUCCCAUUGUUACCUGAAAUGAUAUUGCUUCCUUGCUAGGAGAGUUGUUUAUAUAAAGGAAAAUUAUUCUGAGUUUGGAAAAAGGCAGGGAGGACUGGAGGGAAAAGGAAACGAAGAAAACCGUGAAAAACAGGUGGAAAUCAAGUCCAAGGCUCUCCUUUCCCACCUUGGAGAAACCCUGGCCAUUUCAGUGCCGCUCCCGAGAUCCCCAGAGUGCCCUUUGUGACAGUUCAACAGCUGGGUGGGGAUCUCUGCCCAGCUUUGGGGGUGGGGGUGGGGGAGUGAAAUCCCAACAGGAACCAGCACAUCCCCUCUCCCCUCCCCAUCUGUGUUUCCGGGGUGAGUCAUCAGAGGAUUGGGAGGAAAGGCCCCUCCUCCUCCUGGCAGCACCCAGCCUGGGGGUGGGGGUGGAUCACACUCAGUCCUACUCCCCUCACCGCCAAUCACACAGGGUGAGAUCAGAACCAAGGGAUCGCCCUGGUAGCCCUGGGUCUCCACCAGAACCUCUGUCUCCGUCUCCUGGACCAGCGUGUCUCCUCCCCAGCCCCAUUCCAUCCAUUCUAUGAGGAUUCCGGUAGGGGAAAAGGGGAAAGGGGAGGUAGACGGAUGGCUUUAGGUUGCUGGAAUUAUUUUAGAUGCAUCACUUCCUCUCCUCCACUCCUGCCCGUCCCCCAGACUUUCUAACGGGCAUCUGGAGGUGCUCCUUUCGCGGUGGGCUUUGAGAGGAGUAGAAAGUGGCACGGGGAGGCCUGCUCCUCACCUCCCAGUGGGAAAGAGGGGAGAGGAGGAAAACAUAUAAGAGGAAGACCCUAGACCAGUGUCUGACUUGGUUACUCCAGCUCAGGAAACAUGCCAGGGGUUGGAGAGCAGAACGUCUGCCUUGGAACAGAAGAGUUCAGCUGCUGCUGGGCGCCCAGAGAAAGCCAGCCUGGGACAAGAACCUUCCACACCUGAUUGCAUUUGGUUUCCAGGCAACCUGAGUGUGGGCUGGUCAUCGAGGAGCCUCCCACUGACCAUGGAAGCUUCCUUCCAAAGGGAAACUCGUCUACGUGCUUCUGUCUUCAAAAUGCCAAGUUAUUGCACUUUCAGAAAUACAACAGCUCUGUGGCUUAAACCCUUCCCCCUCCCCCACCCUUCACAACCUCCCUCCCCGACCCCUCACCAUGGCUUCUUCUCAACUAAAAUGAUUCACUACGAAGAAAUUCUACAUCAUCUUCAGAUUUGAUUAAAAGGUUUCAAAAAUG